AACGCUAGCUACAGGCUUAACACAUGCAAGUCGAGGGGCAGCAUGUUGGUUGCUUGCAACCAAUGAUGGCGACCGGCGCACGGGUGAGUAACGCGUAUCCAACCUUCCCCUUACUCGGGUCCAGCCCGUUGAAAGACGGAUUAAUCCCCGAUGCUCUCAUAUACUGGCAUCAGUUUAUGAGCAAAGAUUUAUCGGUAAGGGAUGGGGAUGCGUAUGAUUAGCUUGUUGGUGUGGUAACGGCUCACCAAGGCUACGAUCAUUAGGGGUUCUGAGAGGAAGGUCCCCCACACUGGAACUGAGACACGGUCCAGACUCCUACGGGAGGCAGCAGUGAGGAAUAUUGGUCAAUGGAGGCAACUCUGAACCAGCCAAGUAGCGCGAAGGAUGACUGCCCUAUGGGUUGUAAACUUCUUUUAUAAAGGAAUAAAGUGGUCCACGUGUGGAUUUUUGUAUGUACUUUAUGAAUAAGGAUCGGCUAACUCCGUGCCAGCAGCCGCGGUAAUACGGAGGAUCCAAGCGUUAUCCGGAUUUAUUGGGUUUAAAGGGAGCGUAGAUGGAUUUUAAGUCAGUUGUGAAAGUUCGGGGCUCAACCCCGUAAUUGCAGUUGAUACUGGAUAUCUUGAGUACAGUUGAGGUAGGCGGAAUUCGUGGUGUAGCGGUGAAAUGCUUAGAUAUCACGAAGAACUCCGAUUG
rnacentral:rRNA from 1 species